GAUUAUUUAGUUUAUUUAAAACAAGUGUUUUGAAAACACUAAAAAAGUAACAUCACUUAAUAAUUA
rnacentral:tRNA from 1 species